AUGACAGCACUUGAAGAUGAAUUCCUAUAUUUAUCUGCAGAAGUGGCACAGCGCAAGCAGCUACAGUCCGUGUUUCUCAACAAAUAUGCCUGAACCCUGACCUAGAGAGAUCACCUUUAAAGAGAUGAGUCUCCAUACCCAUUCAAUCCUUGACCUCC
rnacentral:sRNA from 1 species